rnacentral:rRNA from 1 species
UACGAAGGGUGCAAACGUUGUUCGGAAUCAUUGGGCGUAAAGCGCACGUAGGCGGCUUUGCAAGUCGGGUGUGAAAGCCUGGGGCUCAACCCCAGAAGUGCAUUCGAAACUGCAGAGCUUGAGUCUUGGAGAGGGUGGUGGAAUUCCGAGUGUAGAGGUGAAAUUCGUAGAUAUUCGGAGGAACACCAGUGGCGAAGGCGACCACCUGGACAAAGACUGACGCUGAGGUGCGAAAGCGUGGGGAGCAAACAGG